rnacentral:piRNA from 2 species
UGCCAUGUCAGCCUCUGUCAGUGUCC